GGCCUCACUACCAGAACUCAAUGACUGCUUGGCACACAGGCUGUUGGGUUCCAGCAGCUGGCUGGGAGUUGGAUGAUAAUCUGUCUCCUGGUAGCACCCUCAGCCUUGCUGUCUCUGUGCUAUGCUGUGCCACCAGAGGAAGAUGGAGGACAAGUUUCUUGGUGGAUCUCGUCUGGGCUCUCCUGCUUGUCUGCAAGCUUUCCAGGGUACUGCAUGCUGCUCCAAAGAUGGAUUGGCUCUGCUGAAGCCUAUCUCAGGAAAAGUAUGAGGAAUCCUCCAGAGAGCGCAGCUGGGUGCUGGAGCUGGGGACGUUGGCAAUGGAGUAACCAACAGGACCUAAACCAACCCUUGAAUAUUUGAUCCUGGUAUUUGAGUUGUACAGGGGUUCAUGGGGCACCAAGAAGAAAUCUCAGCUGCUGCUGUAGCAUCUACAGCAAGGCAGAUAAAUUAGUACAUGGCACGGGGAAACCUGGAAGUCACUCAACUCUGAAAUGUAACAAAACUAUUAAAUAUAACAUCCAUUUGCUAAGUGCUCGCUUGUGAUUUAUGGCUACUGCUCUGAGACUUGCAAAAAUCGCUUAAAGGGGAUGCCAGGUGGACCCUUGUGAUUUCCACCUCUAUACAACGCCAUCUAGCAAUCCUUCUUCUUAGUACCAAAUCAGUGACAGCACAAAGGAAAAUAGACACUUAAAUGAAAAUUCUUGACUUAUGCCGUUUGUUUUUAUCCCUGUGAGGGAU
rnacentral:lncRNA from 13 species